UCCACCAAGGAGGAGUUCACAACAGCAACUGAGAAGGCAGUCCACUCUUCCAAUUUAGGUUGGACAAUUUACCAUGGAGAGGUACAGUACGUGAUAUCAAGGGCAGGCGGUCAACACUGGGGGUAGACAAGAAGCAGACGUACUUCCAAGAGGGAGCUGCAGUGAGGAGGCGCUGGAAGGUUUCCCUAAUAGUUCCUGGUGAAUCAAAGCAGAACCAUAAAGGUUGCUGGACUGCAUGAUGGCCUUACCCCUGAGCAGUCAUCCUGUUAAAGGAGGAACCACUUAUAAACUGUUUUCAAAGUAGCUGAGCAGAUUUAA